AUACUAUGGUUUCUCUUGAACAUGAGUAAAUCUUUUGCUUUUUACUAAGGAUUUCUGUGGAGAGGAACAACAAUGAGUUUUGGGGAAUUUUUUUGAUGCCUGGCUAAUGCUGGGCC